GCCUGGUUUUCUCAUAUCGGGUCACAUUUGAAUAAGGACAACUCAACGGCCGCAGUAUCUCUGACCGUGAUAAUGUAGCAUAGUAACUAGCCAAUUAAUUGUUGGCACGUAUGAAAGGCUUCACGAGUGUCCCGCUGUCUCGAGAUAUAACCCAGUGAAAUUGAAUUUGUAGUGAAGAUGCUACAUACAAUAAGGACCAUAGGAGAUUUACUGGCAACCACAAUCACAAUUGUAUCAGAGAGUUUUUGUCUGUAAAUCCAUAACUAAUUGAUGGUUUGUAUGACCUUUCUCGCAAGUCUGUUUCCAACAUCUUUUUCAAUUAUGAAUUGGAAGAUGAGCAAAGAGAGCAGGAAGGGCAAGCCACUACUUUAGUGAUCAAGAGCAGGCUAUGCUGAGAAUAGAUGAAUACCGAGUAGCAUCAAUAUAUGAACAUUAGGAAUGUUCAGAUGAAUGUAAACAGAGAGGUUAGUAAAAUGUGGAGAAAAUCAACCUUAACGCAAAAAAUUUAGAAAAUAUAUUAUAUCAAAAAAUUGCUCUUAUGAUACUCUAUCAAUUGGUGCUUGUUGCACAUCAAUGCAGCUUACCCAUCUCAAGUUUUAAGCCUUUGUAUUUUGUUGUUUUAAGCAAGAAGUGGAGAAAUUGCUGUAAAAUCAAUUUUUAAUGUUUCCAUUUACUUUCCAUGUUACAAAUGACAUCACAUGACUAACGACAUGACCAUACAAGUUGGCAAUAGAGAAAAAACUGCUUGAAGGUGUUGCUACUUAAAACUCUCCUAUCAUUGUUUAAGAUAAAGACAAAGCCAUCAAGCCAACUAAGGAUGAAGCCAGUGACCAUUCUAGCUAUGGUGUGCAUUCCUUGUUAGCGCUCUUAGAACAAAGGAUAGGUGCCACCAACCUAGAAAAACAAAGAUAAAACAUUUAAAACUGAUUCUUAAAUUCACUCUCAAAAGAUUAUAUUUAUCAUGAUAAGAAUUGUCAAGAUAUUUGUGGGUAAAGAA